rnacentral:rRNA from 1 species
UACGGAGGAUGCGAGCGUUAUCCGGAUUUAUUGGGUUUAAAGGGUGCGUAGGCGGGCUUUUAAGUCAGCGGUAAAAAUUCGGGGCUCAACCCCGUCCGGCCGUUGAAACUGGGGGUCUUGAGUGGGCGAGAAGAAGGCGGAAUGCGUGGUGUAACGGUGAAAUGCAUAGAUAUCACGCAGAACCCCGAUUGCGAAGGCAGCCUUCCGGCGCCCUACUGACGCUGAGGCACGAAAGUGCGGGGAUCGAACAGG